rnacentral:lncRNA from 1 species
AUGGCAGCCGCUGUGGGAAGGUUGUCCCUAGCUUCGGUUGACCGACAUGUGCACACCAUCCUGUCUCUGCAGUCCUUAGGCCUGUGGCUUCUGGGGAAAACAUGCUUGACAAACAUAUUGUGGUCUGAUUCUGGUCGAGCAGAAUUCGCCUUUGGCACAAUUUCCUCAUACCAUGCACUUGCUGUCACCCUAUUUUAAAGGUACAGCCUUUGUCAAUGCAGAGUUCAAAGAUCUAAGCCUUGAUGAUAAUGAGGGGAAAUGUUUGGUGCUUUUCUCCUAUCCUUUGGAUUUCACCUUUGUGUGUCGACAACAAUUUCUUGCUGUUAGUGAUAAAGAAUGAAUUUUACAAUGUGAACUGUGAAGUUGUUGCAGUCUUAGUGGAUUCCCACUUUAGCCAUCUUGCUUGGAUAAAUAUACCAAGAAAGAAUGGUGAUUUGGGCCACAUGAACAUCACACUUUUCUCAGAUUUAAUUAAACACAUUUCCUGAGACUAUGGUGUGCUGUUAGAAGGUCCUGGUUUGCACUAAGAGGAGUCUUCAUAAUUGACCCCAUGAAUUUAUCAAGCAUUUGAGUGUCAGUGACCUCCCAGUGGGCUAAAACGUGGAAGACACCCUCUGCUUGGUAAAGGCAUUCCAGUUUGUAAAAAAAACCCAUGGAGAAGUCUGCCCAGCAAACUGGACACUAGAGUCUCCUACAAUCAAGUCAAAUCAAACUGUUUCCAAAGAAUACUUUGAGAAGGUAAAUCAG